UACGUAGGGUGCGAGCGUUAAUCGGAAUUACUGGGCGUAAAGCGUGCGCAGGCGGUUCGCUAAGACCGAUGUGAAAUCCCCGGGCUUAACCUGGGAACUGCAUUGGUGACUGGCGGGCUAGAGUGUGGCAGAGGGGGGUAGAAUUCCACGUGUAGCAGUGAAAUGCGUAGAGAUGUGGAGGAAUACCGAUGGCGAAGGCAGCCCCCUGGGAUGAUACUGACGCUCAGGCACGAAAGCGUGGGGAGCAAACAGG
rnacentral:rRNA from 1 species